CCUACACCAUUUUUUUUUUCCUCUUAUGUCUUUCUAUAAAUUGUGAGCAAAAUCAUCUAAUUUGAAAUUUACAUGAAAUUCAAAAUUUCAUUUUAUUGUUUUCCUCUUUAACUUCAGAUAUAGGAGUGAAAUUAUUAUUUUUAUAAAAAUAUGUAAGAGCAUCUCCAACGCUCGUUGCGAAGGAGGCGUCGACUCGGUGCUGUUGGAUUACAAGCUUGCGGGCGUAGUACAAUGUAACACAGAAAUGUAGGAGAUGAGAAUACAAGGGAAAAAACUGUAUUGAAAUUACAAUCUAAUAAACCAGGAAGGCAGCCGAGUCGAGGAAGGUCCUCUGUCCGCAAGACGAUAUACGCCCCGGUACUGCUCUCGGUUUGGCGUGUCGUCCCCAAAGAUGAAACGGCUUCGUCUCGUAGGUAGCAGCACCACACACCAACGAGUUCCGGCGAACUGGAACGAGGCGAGAACAGAACUCAACAGUGCAGUAUGCAGAAUGUCAGAGUGAUGUUGCUUGUAUGAUUUUCAGGUGAAGAAUGAUGCAUGGAGGCUGUCCUAUAUAUAGGCACAGUCCACAUCAAUAGGGGGAGCCUGCGGAGUUAAUACCUUUGAUGGUAUUCAAAUGGUGUCGGGAGUUACAGGCAGCAACAGAUGUAACAGCCCUGCUGUUUGAAUCUGCCAUGACUCCUCCGACAGCAGUUACAAUGUAACAGUACGUGGGAAGCUUCCUGGGAGACCAAGGGUCCUCCCGGGCCAAAGCCCUAGUGGGCUUCGUGUGCAUGCGCGUAGGCCCAACCGAGUUGGGCCUCGUCCCCUUCAAACCAAGUUUCCGUUGGUCCAAAAAGAUAAUAGUCGAUGUGGGCCUAGGGUAGGCCCAAAGGCCAGCCCAAAGACCACCCAAAGACCAAUUGCCAAGAUCCAAGUCCACGGCCACGGCCACGGCCGCGCGUCGGGUGACGGGGACGGGACGGGACCGGGACCGGGGCCGGGUGCCGGGGCCGGGCGUCGGGCGACGGGGCCGGGGCCGGGCCGGGCGGGCGGCGGCGGCGCGCGCGUGUGGGCUGUGCAACAUCCUAUGAUGUAAUAGCUUUUAUACUGUAAUAAAUGUUAUCCACAUUCCGAUGUGGGAUAAGCAUUAAAUCUUAUUUAAUGCUUAUCUUUUCCCACAACUCAAUGUUUCAAGUACCCAACUUUAAACAAUUAUUUCUCACUCACCGGAAAUCGGUUUUGAGUAAAUAAAUAUACUACGAUCAUCUACUCGGAACGUAGAUCGAUCCUGUCCCAUUUAAUUAUGCUAAAUUAAAUGUUUUCGGUACUCGAAAAAUUAUCAAUCAUUGGUUACUCACAACCAAUUUCCAACAAUCCCCCACAUGAGUGGAAAUAGCCAAAUGCAAAUGCAGACACAAGCUCUGUUCUCAAGAGACCUUAGUGCAUUAGAAUAGGUGGUUUGCGGCCUUGAACCAUCCUUAGUUAAUACUAUCGGAUAUACUGGUGAAUUGGUAGAACUUGAUGUCUUUGAACCAUUUCUCCUUCGUGUAUACCGAGACAACAGUAUUAACACACUAACGCCUCAACCUCAUUUCGUUCUCACGUUUUUGUCCUUUGCGGGCCUUGGACAGCUCUUUGGAUUCAUAAGUGUUAGGUCGAUGCGGCCCCCACAUCUCACUUAUAUAGGUGAUUCUUUUCCGAGUAUCCUGCUAUACUCAACCUCCCCGAGGUGUUUAGGAAUCAUUAAAAGUCAAUGACUUAACCUUACCACUAAGCAGGUUUCAACACUCAGUUGCUCUCUAGGGAAUGCAAGUAGAUGAGUGUUCUACUUGGAAUCUUAUAGCUUAGUUUUCCCAUUGAACCACGUUCUUGGGAUCUCCAGUCAUCAUGGUUGGGUUACCACUAUAAUCAUCCUUAUUUUGUGGAUUUUACACCCAUUCCCUCUAGCAAUUUAUACAUUUGAUCUCGAUUCAAAGCUUUAGUGAGCGGAUCGGCCAAAUUAUCUAUUGACUUUAUAUAGUCAAUUGAGAUAACUCCACUUUCGAUCAAAUGUCUUACGGUAUUAUGUCGUCGAUGUAUGUGUCGAGACUUACCGUUGUACAACCCACUUUUCGCCCUCCCAAUAGUUGCUUGGUUGUCGCAGUUUAUCAUGACAGGCGGCACGGGUUUUGACCAACAUGGAAUAUCUUCCAAAAAGUUUCGUAGCCAUUCGGCUUCUUCACCUGCUUUGUCUAAAGCGAUGAAUUCUGAUUCCAUGGUGGAUCUAGCAAUACAUGUCUGUUUUGUAGACCUCCACGAGAUUGCUCCUCCCCCUAUAGUGAACACGUAACCACUCGUUGAUAACGAGUCUUUCGCGUUGGAUAUCCAGUUAGCAUCACAGUACCCUUCAAGUACCGGGGGGUAUCUCGUGUAGUGUAUUCCAAAGUUUAGAGUAUACUUUAAGUAUCUCAAGACUCUCUCAAGUGCUUCCAAUGUUCUUUACUUGGAUUGCUUGUAUAGCGACUUAGUUUGUUCACUGGGCAUGCAAGAUCAGGUCGAGUGCAAUUUGUAAUAUACAUAAGGCACCCAAUGAUUCUUGCAUAUUCUUCCUGUGCGACAGGUUCACCCAUGUUUUUCUUCAUGUGAACGUUGAGUUCUAAUGGGGUUUUUACAGGCGAUUUGUCAAACGCAUUGAACCUUUUGAGCACUUUCUCAAUGUAAUGAGAUUGUGUCAAAGUUAUUCCAUCAGUGGUCCUGAGAAUUUUCAUUCCAAGGAUCACGUCAGCUAACCCCAUGUCUUUCAUGUCAAAAUUCUUUUUAACAUGUUCUUUGUAUCAACAAUGAUACGAUUGUUGCUUCCCAUAAUCAACAUGUCGUCUACGUAGAGACACACCAUAACGUACCCAUUACUAGUGCUCUUGAUGUAGACACAUUUGUCACAUUCGUUGAUUUUGAAGCCAUUUGCGACUCAUUGUCAAAUUUCAAGUGCCAUUGCAGCGGCGCUUGUUUUAGUCCAUAAAGAGACUUUACUAGUUUGCAUACCUUUUUCUCUUGUCCAGGUACUACAAACCCUUCAAGUUGCUCCAUAUAGACUUCUUCUUCCAGAUCACCGUUUAAGAACGCAGUUUUGACAUUCAUUUGAUGAAUCUCAAGAUUGUGCAGAGCAGCAAUCGCGAGAAGCACUCGAAUGGAUGUAAUCCUCGUCACUGGUGAAUAGGUAUCGAAAAAAUCGUACCCCUCACGUUGCUUAAAUCCUUUAACGACUAAGCGCGCUUUAUACUUGUCUAUUGAUCCAUCAGCUUUAUAUUUCCUUUUUAGGAUCCAUUUACAUCCUAAGGGCUUACAACCUUCGGGUAAAUCAACCAACACCCAAGUGUGGUUUUGCAUGAUUGAAUCAAUUUCACUCUGGACUGCUUCCCUCCAGAGUAGUCCGUCUGGUCUAGAGAACGCCACUUUGAUAGAUGAAGGUUCUUCAUCUAGCAUGAAAGCGAUAUAUUCUGGACCAAAGUCCUUGGCAAUCCUACCUCGUUUACUACGUCUUGGUUCUGACACUUCAAGGUCAGGGCCUGGUCGCUUUCGCGAUUCGGGCACUGUCUCAACAGGUUCAGAACUAGUAGCUUCUUCUCUAGUAUUGUUGCUUGUACUAGCUUCUUCUUUUCCCUUGUCUUUACAAGGAAAGAUAUUCUCAAAGUAGACAGCGUUAUUUGAUUCCAUCGUCAUUCCUACAGUCAUUGUUGGAAUGUCUGACUUGUGAACCAAAAACGAUGUGCAUUGCUGUUAGUGCAUACCCAAUAAAGAUACAAUCAAUUGUUUUAGGACCGAUUGUGACUUGUUUGGGUGGAGGCACUUGCACCUUGGCUAAACACCCCCACACUUUAAGGUAUUUGUAUAAGGGCUUCCUGCCUUUCCACAACUCAUAGGGAGUGACGUCCCUUCCCUUGAGUGGUAUUUUAUUGAGGAUAUAGUUGGCUGAUAGAACAGCCUCCCCCACAUGUUCUGGGGGUAACCCAGAACUAAUCAACAUGGCAUUCAUCAUCUCCUUAAGAGUUCGAUUCUUGUGUUCAGCAACACCAUUAGAUUGAGGUGAAUAUGGAGCAGUUGUUUGAUGUAUUAUACCACUAACGUUGCAUAAUUCCUCAAACGGAGCAACAUAUUCUCCCCCUCUAUCACUUCGAACCAAUCUUAAUUCGACUACCAAGUUGAUUUUCGGCUUCUGUUUUGAAGUUCUUGAAAGCUUCAAUAGCCUCAUCUUUACUUCUUAGAAGAUAAAAGAUAGCAAUAUCUUGUGCAGUCAUCAAUAAAAAGUGAUAAAGUACUUCUUACCACCUCGAGUUUGCACAAACUUUAGNNNNNNNNNNNNNNNNNNNNNNNNNNNNNNNNNNNNNNNNNNNNNNNNNNNNNNNNNNNNNNNNNNNNNNNNNNNNNNNNNNNNNNNNNNNNNNNNNNNNNNNNNNNNNNNNNNNNNNNNNNNNNNNNNNNNNNNNNNNNNNNNNNNNNNNNNNNNNNNNNNNNNNNNNNNNNNNNNNNNNNNNNNNNNNNNNNNNNNNNNNNNNNNNNNNNNNNNNNNNNNNNNNNNNNNNNNNNNNNNNNNNNNNNNNNNNNNNNNNNNNNNNNNNNNNNNNNNCCCCUUGCCAUCGAUCCUCCUUCCUCGCAUUCGAUGCGAAGCCUCACGAUCAAGUCCUCAAACGUCUAUCCCUUUCGUUUGUGUUUGAGUAGGUCUGAAGUCCUCCACUUGGGGCAAUUGUCAAUCACCGCCACCACGGUGAAUGAGUCGGAGACCACAUGUCCCUCGGCGAGUACGUCGUGCAAGAUAAGUUGGAAUUCUUGCACUUGGUCGAUGACGGGCCUCGAGUCCACCAUCUUGUACUCCAUGUACCUAGUUACACAUGUAUUCUUAGUGCUAGCAUCAUUUAGCUUAUACUUUUUGUCUAGUGCCUCCCACAACACUUUGGAGGUCUUUACAUCAACAUAUACUUUGUACAAACUAUCCCCUAGACCACCUAGGAGGAAAUUUUUACAAAGAAAAUCGCCAUUAUGCCACGCAUCAUAGGCUGCACGAACGGUGAAGCUCGUCUCGUUCUCCGCCGGUGUGGGCGGCUCGUUGUCCGUCAAGUAUCCCGCAUACCCCAACGUCGUGAGGUAAAAGAACAUCUUUUGACGCCAACUCUUGUAGUCGGAGCCACAAAACUUUGGUGGCUUGUCGGCGGUUGCGUUCGCCCUUGGGGGUUGGGUUGGAACCGACCCCACCACAUGGCCAUAGCCCAUCAUGUUGGUCCCGAAGGCCCCAACGUUCUGUCCAAACAUGGACCCCACGGAGCCACUCGAAGUGGAACCAAAUGUUGACCCAAACGGAGUUUGGCCAACCGUUCCUUGCACGGAACUAUCUCCUCCAAGUGUGGUUUGGUUAGCACCAAACAUGAAAGGAAGUGGUGUUGAACCACCAAAAGGACCACCACUAAAAGUGGAGGCAGCAGCGGCAGAGGUGGCGGGUGCCACGGUUGAUGCGGCCGCGGCGGAGGCGGCGGCAGCGGCAGCGGCAUUGGCAGCGGCAACGGCAUUGGCAGCCUCGGUGGAGUUCGCAGGACCGGUCGACAUCUCCAGCAAAGGUGUUUAAGUUUCGAAAGUUUUUAAGUUCAGUUUACAAGUUCAAAAAACUCCCACGUUGCAAGCUUAUCUCGUCUUGCGAUUGUUGGAUUACAAGCUUGCGGGCGUAGUACAAUGAAACAGAAAUGUAGGAGUUUAGAUUACAAGGGAAAAACUGAAUUGAAAUUACAGAAAACUGAAACCAGGAGAAAGCCGAGUCGAGGAGGGUCCUCUGUCCGCAAGACGAGAUACGCCCCGGUAGUGCUCUCGGUUUGGCGUGUCGUCCCCAAAGAUGAAACGGCUUCGUCUCGUAGGUAGCAGCACCGCACACCAACGAGCUCCGGCGAACUGGAACGAGGCGAGAACAGAACUCAACAGUGCAGUAUGCAGAAUGUCAGAGUGAUGUUGCUUGUAUGAUUUUCAGGUAGAAAAUGAUGCAUGGAGGCUGUCCUAUUUAUAGGCACAGUCCACAUCAUGGGGGAGCCUGCGGAGUUAAUACCAAUGAUGGUAUUCAAAAGGUGUCGGG
rnacentral:lncRNA from 1 species